rnacentral:rRNA from 1 species
CCCUUAGAUGUCCUGGGCCGCACGCGUGCUACACUGACGCCUACAGCGAGUACUUCCCAGCCCCGAGAGGCGGCUGGUAAUCAGCAAUAGGCGUCGUGAUGGGGAUAGAUCUUUGGAAUUAUGGAUCUUGAACGAGGAAUGCCUAGUAAGCGCAGGUCAUUAGCCUGCGCUGAUUACGUCCCUGCCCUUUGUACACACCGCCCGUCGCUACUACCGAUUUCGAGUGGUCCGGUGAACCUUUCGGACUGAGAGUGGCCUCGAGUCGCUUUUAGAAAGUCAAGUAAACCACAUCACUUAGAGGAAGGAGAAGUCGUAACA